GUGAGGAAUUUUGCGCAAUGGGGGAAACCCUGACGCAGCAACGCCGCGUGAGUGAUGAAGGCCUUCGGGUCGUAAAGCUCUGUCAAGUGGGAAGAACCCAUUCCGCGCCAAUAACGCGGGAUGCUGACGGUACCACUGAAGGAAGCACCGGCUAACUCCGUGCCAGCAGCCGCGGUAAUACGGGGGGUGCAAGCGUUAUUCGGAAUUACUGGGCGUAAAGAGCGCGUAGGCGGUCCAUUAAGUCGGGUGUGAAAUCCCGGGGCUCAACCCCGGAAGUGCACUUGAAACUAAUGGACUUGAGUAUGGGAGAGGGAAGUGGAAUUCCUGGUGUAGCGGUGAAAUGCGUAGAUAUCAGGAGGAACAUCGGUGGCGAAGGCGACUUCCUGGACCAAUACUGACGCUGAGGCGCGAAGGCGUGGGGAGCAAACAGGAUUAGAUACCCUAGUAGUCC
rnacentral:rRNA from 1 species